AAGUAGGAAGCGAAUGAGAGAACUCGACGAGGGGGAUCUUGAUUCCACCUUUUAGAGGCCAACUUACCUAUACUUGGAAAGCUGGUGUGUAGACUUGACUCACUGCCUCUUUCUUCCCCACGCCUUUGCCCUCCUUCCACGAUCUCUUUCGCAACGUCAUCACACCGUCGCACGAUCUCUCUCUCUCUCUCUCUCUCUCUCUCUCUCUUCUCUACUAUUGAAGAUCGAACAUGGAGGCUUCUCAAUCUCUGCUCCAACGCAAUCACAGCGAUCGUCGUCAGCUCCUGAGUUUCAUACUCUCAUCAGGUUUGAUAAAGGAGCUCCGGUCCCCUACUGGUGCCACCUCCUCUGUCUCCGACUCUGAUCUUGAACUUCUCAGCGCCGAUUACGUCCUCCAAUGCGCACAAUCCGGAUCCGAGUCUUGUCUUUGUUCGCCGUGGAACCUCUAGAACAAAUUCAAGACAAGGCACUCUGAGAAGAAGUGACUCCAUGUGGCACACAAAUUAUUAACCUGUGGUAGCCAAAUUGUUGCUUUGAGAUGUUCUACCUCUUGUUUACAUAAAAGUGUAGCAGCUCAAGGUUUUUAUAUUUUUAGCUGCUGAGUAUGAAACUCCAAAGAACUCCCUGAAUCAGGUCAGCUUUUUAGCAUUUGGUGGCAUGCAUUAUUUCAUCAUGAGUUCAUUUCAAUUUGGCAUUGGAUAUUAUUCUUAACCUCAAGCUUCAUUUCAAAUUUCAUGAGAUUAUGGAGCUAGUCAGUUUUUGUCCGAUGUCCCUUUUUGUCCGAUGUCCCUUGCUGGAUAGGUGCAGUCGGAUCAUUGUCCAGAUCAUCCUUAGACUCCAUAAUAAGUACUAUGAUGUUUCUCGAUUCUUGAAAUUUUUUCCCUCUACUCUAUGUUUCAGAUAUUGGCAUACAUGAUGAUAAAUUUAACCUUUUGGCUUAAGAAA